AAAGCUUGACAGGUUUCUCCAGAAAAGUGGCCAUCCAUGGAAUGAAUGAAACGUUCCCUUUCUGUUCCA
rfam:Loxodonta africana unplaced genomic scaffold scaffold_25, whole genome shotgun sequence.